UUUAGCAAACGAUGAACUAUAAAUCCAGC
rnacentral:piRNA from 1 species